rnacentral:lncRNA from 1 species
UCUGAAGGAAGUGAUGGGCCUACUCAGCCUUUUAUUGUUAAAAACAGAAAUGCCUUGUCCCGAGGAGAAGACAGGUCAGAGAGGUGAAGUGCUCUGCCAAGGAGGGCGGGACAGAAGCCCCUCUCAAACCCUAGCCAGUGUGUGUCCCAAGGAUGCUGAAAACAGGAAGAAGCCGCACACAGAAGCCAGACCUGGCUUUGCUUACUGCUCCACUCUCCCCAGAAAGAGGCCGUGCCAUCCAUGCUGGGUCACCAGAUAGGCGUGCUGACCCUGCUGUGGCGGGAGAAAGACAAGAUCACACAGCAGCACUCUCACUUUUGUGUCUACCUCCUCAUGGAGCUUGUUUUCCAGCAGAAGGGUGAGUGGGACUGGCAGGGGUUCAGGGUUGGGGGCGGGGGAGGGAGCGGGUGGGUAGCAGCCCUCCUGAGCACAGCUGUCCACAGGGAAGUUGGUGGAGUCUGCGCAAUGGAGUAAGAUGAAGCACUUUGAAAGCAACGUGUUUAGAGAGUGGGAGAUGAAGCUCUACUACCUGGUGAAGGUGAGGUCGCUCGGGCAAUGCCCGGGUCUCUGCUACCCUCAGUGCACAGUGGUUACAUGGUUUCUUCCUCCCCACUCCCAGGCCUGUGUGGAUGGGGCCAAAGGUUCCCAGGGACCUGUGCAGGCAAGUAGGUUGGGCAGAACCAGGACAGGAUGGACUUCUGCUCUUUUCAGGGAAGUUCUGUCUGUACCUUCUCUCCCAGCAGAUAGGACCUUUAA